CGGGGUGCAGCAGGCGCGAAAACUUUACAAUGCCGGCAACGGCGAUAAGGGAACCUCGAGUGCCAGGUUACAAAUCUGGCUGUCGUGAUGCCUAAAAAGCAUUGCAUAGCAAGGGCCGGGCAAGACCGGUGCCAGCCGCCGCGGUAACACCGGCGGCUCGAGUGGUAACCGUUAUUAUUGGGUCUAAAGGGUCUGUAGCCGGCCGGAUAAGUCUCUUGGGAAAUCUGGCAGCUUAACUGUCAGGCUUUCAGGAGAUACUGUCUGGCUCGAGGCCGGGAGAGGUGAGAGGUACUUCAGGGGUAGGGGUGAAAUCUUGUAAUCCUUGAAGGACCACCAGUGGCGAAGGCGUCUCACCAGAACGGACCUGACGGCAAGGGACGAAAGCUAGGGGCACGAACCGGAUUAGAUACCCGGGUAGUCCUAGCCGUAAACGAUACUCGCUAGGUGUCGGCCACGGUGCGACCGUGGUCGGUGCCGUAGGGAAGCCGUGAAGCGAGCCACCUGGGAAGUACGGCCGCAAGGCUGAAACUUAAAGGAAUUGGCGGGGGAGCACAAGGGCGAA
rnacentral:rRNA from 1 species